AUCAGAGAAUCCUGAUUCUCAAUCACAGAGUCUCUGAGCAAUAGGACUCUUGGUCGAAGAGUCCCAAUCCAGUGAGACUCUUCACCAGCCAUCAGAUCAGAUAGGAACCUCUAAUGUGUGUGACCCCGCAGGUUCAAACCUAAGCCGGUAGCAUAGGAAUCAAUUCCUGUACUAAUCGAAGUGACCAUCUAGCAAUGGUACCCGACGUCCGGAUAGGUCAAAGAGUCACAAUCGUAACACUCAGAACCUACAUGAAUAUGGUUACUGUAUAAUUC
rnacentral:lncRNA from 1 species